GCUCCAAUAGCGUAUAUUAAAGUUGUUGCAGUUAAAAAGCUCGUAGUUGGAUUUCUGGCAUGAUGCGCCUGGCCGCCUCAACUAUGAGUGUGUGUGCUAGUGCGCGUCUGCCAUCCAUUUACAGAACGGUCAUACCUUCAUUGGGCCGUGCUCGUGAUGUAAAUCUUUUACUUUGAAAAAAUUAGAGUGUUUAAAGCAGG
rnacentral:rRNA from 1 species